AUUGAACGCUGGCGGCAGGCCUAACACAUGCAAGUCGAGCGGAUGACGGGAGCUUGCUCCUUGAUUCAGCGGCGGACGGGUGAGUAAUGCCUAGGAAUCUGCCUGGUAGUGGGGGACAACGUUUCGAAAGGAACGCUAAUACCGCAUACGUCCUACGGGAGAAAGCAGGGGACCUUCGGGCCUUGCGCUAUCAGAUGAGCCUAGGUCGGAUUAGCUAGUUGGUGGGGUAAUGGCUCACCAAGGCGACGAUCCGUAACUGGUCUGAGAGGAUGAGCAGGCAAACUGGGACUGGGACCCGGUCCAGGCUCCUACGGGAGGCAGCAGUGGGGAAUAUUGGACAAUGGGCGAAAGCCUGAUCCAGCCAUGCCGCGUGUGUGAAGAAGGUCUUCGGAUUGUAAAGCACUUUAAGUUGGGAGGAAGGGCAGUAAGCUAAUACCUUGCUGUUUUGACGUUACCGACAGAAUAAGCACCGGCUAACUCUGUGCCAGCCGCCGCCGUAACAC
rnacentral:rRNA from 1 species